GAUGAACGCUGGCGGCGUGCCUAAUACAUGCAAGUCGAGCGAACAGAUGAGGAGCUUGCUCCUCUGACGUUAGCGGCGGACGGGUGAGUAACACGUGGAUAACCUACCUAUAAGACUGGGAUAACUUCGGGAAACCGGAGCUAAUACCGGAUAAUAUAUUGAACCGCAUGGUUCAAUAGUGAAAGACGGUUUUGCUGUCACUUAUAGAUGGAUCCGCGCCGCAUUAGCUAGUUGGUAAGGUAACGGCUUACCAAGGCAACGAUGCGUAGCCGACCUGAGAGGGUGAUCGGCCACACUGGAACUGAGAAACGGUCCAGACUCCUACGGGAGGCAGCAGUAGGGAAUCUUCCGCAAUGGGCGAAAGCCUGACGGAGCAACGCCGCGUGAGUGAUGAAGGUCUUCGGAUCGUAAAACUCUGUUAUUAGGAAAGAACAAAUGUGUAAGUAACUAUGCACGUCUUGACGGUACCUAAUCAGAAAGCCACGGCUAACUACGUG
rnacentral:rRNA from 1 species